CGUGUGUGACAAUUUUUCUGGACAAUUUUUCGAUAUACUCACCCCUUUAAAAGUUAUUCAAGGUUAAACUUCUGGGUAAUUUCUGGAAUUUUCGAACUUUUACGGCAAAUUGAAUUUUUUUUUGUAAAAUUCAAUUGUUUUGUUCGAUGUUUUUUGUAGAGCAUUCAAUUCUGUAUAAGAAUAUGACUUUUUUAUUCCUACAAACGGGAAAGUUCCAGAGAAAAAAAAAAAUAUUUGUAAAAAGUGGCAAAUCCCAAUUUCAAUGGGAAAUGUAUCGUGUUUGGGGCAAGGUUUAUUAUGAAAAUUAAGGGCUGUUUAUGGUCUGAUAUUUUUUUUAGAUGGAAAACUAAAAGUUUAGGGAGCGUCUCGUCAAAAAUAAUCAAUUUGGUAAAUAACGGACACCCUAAUAUACAUAUACAUAUAAGACAGUGCUUAAACCCAAAAACCAAAAAAAAAAACAUACAGAAAACCGGGCGCGAAAUAUUAUUUAUCAAAAAAAAAACAUGCCCGCGUCGAUGUUAAGAAGCUUAACAUAUAUUUAUAAAAAUUUAAUAUCCUUGUGAAAACCCAUAAUAAACGUGAAACAAAAAAUUAAGAAAAAACAAAAAAUAAUAGUAAUAAUAAUAAAAAUAAAAAAACUAGAAAAGCCAACCAACGAAAGGAAAUUUAAACCUUCGGAGCAAGCAACGAAAAGGAAAGGAAACGGAGAGGAAACAAAUUGGACACAGUGGCAUAAGCUACCCCCCAUAUCUUAACCGUAUAUAAAGCCCUCAAAGACCCUUGAAGCGGCACAAAGUGCGUGUGUCGACUCCAUUUAUUCUUUUAAAAAAUUUUGCACUUAUUUGCAUAUACAAGGUUUGACAAUUAAGUAAUGGGAUUUCGAUUUUAUUGCCGCGCUUGUGGUAAACCUGUGACCUUGAAAUUCCCUUUCUCUUUUUUCGGCAUCCCUCCCCUCUCCAUUGAUGUAUGUACCAUCGCUCUAGCUUGUUUAGUUCGCUUGCUGCGUCAAGUUGAGUAGACGUGUGUUUGUAGUGCAACACGUCGCUAUAAAAUUUUGAGCCAGAUUGGACGAAAUAGCUUCGGACACGUUCGCUAAAAUUGCUAAAAGUGUAUGGUGAUAGUGCUCUUAGUCGUGGAAACCAAACGCCAAAGCUCACAAUGGUUGUCUCCGCGCGCCCCCCGCCUGUAAAAAGCUCGCAUGAGCAAGUCGAAGGUAAAAACGAUGAUUAUUGCCUUUGUUGAUAGCCGUGGAAAACUGUGAAUCAAGUCUACUAUUGCCAAGUACUAGAAAGAUUGCGAAAACGAGUCAACAGGGUGCGCACAGACACCGCUUUCAUCACGAGAACGCGCCGUGUCACACCGCCCUCAGCGUGCCCCAGUAUUUGGUCUCUAAAGGGAUCGCCGUGUUGCAACAGCCGCCUUAUUCGCGCGACAUGUCACCCUGUGACUUUGUUUGUUUCCUAAAACAAAAUCUGUGGUCAAAGAAACCCAUUUUGAGUCGAUUACAACAUCCAGGCGGCCGUGACGAGGGUACUCGCAGACAUCCCAGUCGAAGCGUUCCAGAAAUGUUACGAAGCAUGAAAAACGCACUGGAAUCGCUAUAUAGCUGCCCAAGGACUAUUUUGAAGGGGAUGGCAGAGUUGUAGAACAAUUUUCAAAUAUACGGUUUUUAUGGAAUCAGUCUCAUUACUUAAUUGUCAUACCUCGUAUGUACAUAUGUUGAAUACAGUUUAUCUUUCUGAAAACUGUAUACGAUCCUGUUAAUUUUAAUAGAACGGUUGCUACCAACCUGUUCGAACUUACGGUUGAUUUCCGGGAAACCGAAAACAGUUUGGUACCCUACUUAUGUAUGUACAUCCAAAUAUAUGUAUGAGCAGUAAAUAGUAUAAUUAUAUAAUAUAUAUGCUGGCAUAUAUAUAUCUGAUAAAAGGCCUAGUUAUGCUUACAUUUGUGUACUCAAACACACAAACUUUAUAAAAAAAAACUCAAGUAUUCACUUGCCAACAUUUUCCGGCAACAGCCCUUAUACUUAACAGUAUAAGCAGGAUUGCACAAAAAGUAAGCUAGGGCAAUUGCGAAAAUUAAAAGAGAAAGGAAUAAUAACAAAAAAAAACAUACAUAUAUGCACAAUAGUCACCACUUACAUAUGUACAUACCUAUAUUACAAAACGAAAAAAGUGGGAAGCAAAAUUAAUGCAACAUACACCCACAUGUAUGUAUAAACAGCAUUAUUAAAACUUUACAAAUUUACUAAAAGUGCAUACCUGCAAUUCACCGCACCGCGUUAUCCGUAAGGCAAAUAAUAUACACACAUACAUACGGCAUACAAUUUGCCUAUGCCGGUAUAUACAAAGUACAUUAAAAUUUCAUAAUUUAUCGAAAAUACUUACAAUAUUUCGAAAAAAUGAAGCGGUAAAUGCGAAUUUUAAUUUAUUAAAAUUUUGCUAAUUCAAAACAAAAAAAAAUUACGGUCCAAAUAAAACAAAAAAUUUAAGAGUUGGUAAAAAAAAACAAAAAAAAGCACAUACAUACGUGUUAGCAUUUUCAAGUGUUCACACACACACACUUAUAUUCAAAGACCAAAUCGGCACCUGUCCAGCAAUACCCCUUGUUCUUGUUCAAGCACAAGCAAGCAGGGUUGCAAACAAAAAAAAAUUUUUUCUUCAGCAUCUUACGUAAACACAUAAACACGCACAUAUAGUGCAGACUAAUAUACAAAGGUCAUCAACCUUUUUCUCCUUUUUUGCAUUUCCGCUCGUAACUAACGAGUACGAAACAUUAAAAAAAGAAGCAAAAACAAGAAGAAACUAAUAGCAAAAUACAUAAGCACCGGGAAUAAGGAAAACGAAAUACGCGUUCGUUAUUUGAUACAUUGCGUAUACAACAAAAACAAAAAACUUUUUAUCUUAAAGAUUUCACACGUACUUAUUAUUAUCAGAAGUACACUGAGAGAAUUUUUUUUUCUCAAAUUUUCAAUUUUAUCAUAUUAUCUAAAUGAACGGAGAUUCUAAGGAAUCUCAUUCAAUACAAUAUCUAGAAGUACAAAAAAUGAUUUCAGAAGAAAAGAGCCCAUGUACACCUGCUGAUGCUACACGCUCAAAGCAAGUUGCUACAAAGUAAAAAAAAAGCUGAAAGAUAUUUCAUAUACUAAGUUUAUUGCUGAGAGUGACAGUCUAAUUCGAUUCUUCACCGAUUCAAGACAAUUCUGAAUCGGUAUUAGAAAUCAAAAAAGAAAAUCUGGGCAAUUUCUGGACACGUCUUCAAGCUGCGUAUGACGCAAUUGUAGUAUAUGACGAGUCAGAUCUACCUGAAAUUUUCAAAUCUUCAGCAUACUUCAAAUAUGAAAAAUGCUUAGACCAGUAUGAAGAGACGAAAGCUAUGAUUUCCGAUCAAUUAAAAUUAAUUAAAGCAAUUGCACCUACUCUACAACCGAGAGUAGAGCAGCCACAAAUUCAAAGCCAAGAGGCGAGUUCAGGCAUCCACUUCAAGGUUCCCGCAUAUGACACUGAAAUUUUUCGUGGUGGUUAUGAACAAUGGCCGUCCUUCCGGGACAUGUUUACAGCCGAUGCAUCACCUCCGAUACAAAACAAAAGGUCAAGCAGACGUAAUAGUCAAAGAGUUCGCACUUAAUGACGAAAAUUUUAAUUAUGCUUGGGAAGCUCUAAAAGCUCGUUACGAGAACGAAAGAAUAUUAGUCGACAAACAAGUCACAAUAUUAAUGAAUUUAAAACUUCAAUCCACUGUUUCAAAUUGCUUUUUGGUUCUAGCGACACAGACUAUUCCCACAUACAAUUGGGACCUCAUUCUGGUAAAUAUGGCGGGUAUUGUCACUUGCGAAGCGAAUUUAUUUGGCGAAGCGAACGCUUUAGCGAACAAACCCCAAAUUUGCAUUGUGAAUGGCGAUUGAACGUAUUCGCUAAAAUACGUCGUUGCCAUUCAUGAAAAAAGUAGUGCGUUCAUCCGAAUUUGACAUUUGUGCAAUUUAUACUUAAAAAUUUUUUAUUAUAUCAACUGAAAUUUGAAAAUAUGUUUAAUAACGGAUCUGUAUUUUGAAGAUAAUUACGAUGUGGAAAAGCGAACUAAUCUUCUUCGACAGCGCCGUUUUAUUAGAGAUAAUUCUAAUCCUACAGAGCUACCUAACACAGUAGUUGUUGCGAAUUUCCGCUUGAACAAGGACGCAUUUAUGUAUGUGCUGGAUAAAAUAAAAGACAAAUUUCAUUGUCGGAUGUCGUCUUCCAUAACGCCCAUAUUAAAAUUGUGUGCCGCACUCAGAUUUUUUGCACAUGGCAGUUACCAACAAGCUAUAGGGAAUGAAUUUCAGUUGGGACUUGCUCAACCAACAGUUUCCCUUAUUUUAAAAGAGAUCAUACCCAUUUUGGAAAAUGAAAUUUGUCGUACCCAUAUAAGCGUAGAUAUGAGUGAAGAAGAAAAGCAGCAGGCAAGGAGCAAAUUUUAUUCAAGAUCGGGAAUACCAAAUGUAAUAGGCUGCAUCGAUGGAACCCAUAUUGCGAUUUAUGCUCCUACCACAAACAAACACCUCUAUCUAAACAGACAAGGAUUUUUUUAGCAUAAAUGCAAUGAUUGUGAGUUUUUAUGAAUUUAAUACAGUAAAAUUGGUAUAAAAAUUUUGUUAUAUUUUUAUUACUGGCUUGUGAUCAUGAUAUGAAUAUCCGUUUUGUGGAUGCUAGAUAUGCUGGUUCUACACACGAUUCGUUCGUAUGGAACAAUAGUUCUCUAAAGGCAUGUUUAGAGGCAGCGCAUCAAAAUGGAGAUCAGAACUCUAUUUAUUUAGGUGACUCCGGAUACCCACUAAGCCCUUAUUUAUUAACACCUUUCCGUCAUGCAGAAUCUGGAACUAGGGAGUCAAUUUUUAAUAAGAAGCACGCGAAAGCGAGAAAUGUUGUUGAACGUAUGAUUGGAGUUCUGAAAUGCCGUUUCAGAUGUCUUCUGAGUGAUCGAAAAAUGCGCUACGAUCCUGCUAAAGUAACAUUUGUCAUAAAUAUAUGCUGUGCCUUGCACAACAUUUGUAAAAAAUUUAGAAUCGGUGAUCCGGAGGAGGCUGAAACCUUCUUUGGUGCCGUUGUACCAUUGGAACCAAUUAAUGAAAAUGACAAUGGUUCACCAGGAGAGCGCCGCAGAAGACAAAUUACUGAUGCUUUGAUGUAAAUGAAACUAUACCGACUUCAGUGAAUAAUAUAUUGUAUUCUUUUAUUUUAUUCAAUACUUUGAAAUUCAAUAUUACAUAGAUAAUAAAUAUAUAAAAAUUAUAAAAACUACAUGCUUUUAAAUUAAAUUAAAAAAAUCACAGAUUCAAUUCCGUCACUUACAAUAAUAAAGUAAAAAUAAAUUCAUCACAUGGUUAAAAUAUGAAAUAAAAAAAAAUUCAUCACAUUCUUAUGAAAUAAACUACAGGGUAGGCCAUUUAAAGUUGACCCAUUUGUUUCUAAAAAAAAAGAACAAAAGAAAACAAUGUUUUUUGUUCAUUUCAAAAAUAAUUUAUUUUGGUCCAAGGGGAUUUGUUUCAGCUAAUAUUUAAAAAUUAGAUCGCGUAAAUGGGCACCUUUAGCUUUGACAGCUAAAUGCACUCUUUUUUCGACAUUUUCCAUGACUUUGGCCAAUGUUUCGGAUGAUAUGGCGGCUGUUUCACGUCGAAUGUUGGCUUUCAGUUGAGCUAAGGUCUUUGGCUUAUUAGCGUAUACCUUGGAUUUCAAAUAACCCCACAAAUAAAAGUCUGGUGGCGUCAAAUCUGGUGAUCUCGGUGGCCAGUCAACAUCACCAUUUUUCGAUAUCAAUCGUUUUCAGCCAUUUCGAUGGCCCAUUUGCCAAAAUUAAGGCGUCGCGGAUAAUCAGCUGGGUUUAGUUUUUGUGCCAUUUGAAUUUUAUAUGGAAACAUCUUCAAAUCUUUAUGAAUUAUGCGUCGGAGAGUGGUGCGAGAGAUGUCUAAUUCCUGAGAGCGGCGAUAACUCGAUGUCGAUGGAGUCUCCUCAAUACUGGCUCGUACAGCUUCGAUAUUUUCAUCAGAACGUCUUGUGCGUUGUCUGGAUGCAUGACUGGCAUUACUGAGAUUACCGGUGUUCACAAAUUUUGCGUAUAAAGACUUAAUUGUGUUCUUAACUGGAGCACUUUUCACUUUAUUUUUUUUGCGAAACGCACGUUGAGUUAACACAAUUGAAAAGUUAUUUUGAAUAUAAAGCUGAACAAUUUCAGCGCGUUCUUUUGGAGUGUACUGUUCCAUGGUAUAAAUUGUCUUCGAAUGACGCUUCUAACGCGGUAUGACAUUAGCCGAUUUGUCAGCGCUGUUAAAAGUUACAGCGUUGCCAGAUGGGUCAACUUUAAAUGUAUAAACUAAAUUCAAUCUAUUUACAAGUACCCUAGUUUUUUUGCAUUUUUAAUUUUAAAAUUUGUAGUUUUAUUUCCAUCUUUUCUUUAUGUCUUUUUUUUCUCUAAAUAUUCUUCCUUCUUCCUUUCUUCUUUCAUUUUCAUUAAUUUAAUUUCUUCCUGUUUAAGUUCAUAUGUUUUUCUUGCAUACCUUGCAAUUUCAUCAACUCUUUUUCCAUUUUUGCAAUUUUGUUGGAAAGGAUGUCUUGAACUUCGGCUUGCUUUUCCAACGCUUUCAUCCGAAUGACUUCACGUUCCUCUACUGUCAUUCUAGGACGGCUGCUUGAGGAUUGCGAUGCCAAAUCCAUGGCUCGUUGUGUUUCCUCGGUCGUGCGCUCUUCUGGCUGAAUUUCAUUAUUAUUUGCCGCAGUUUCUACUUCAUUAGAGCCAUAUGCUAAGCCUGUAGGAUUUACAGCCGCCUGAAGGUGAAGAAGCUCAUCCACACUUUGCUCUAAUGGAGAUAAACUUUGCUGAGCAUAAGGUCCUCCUCCUGUGGCAACAGUUUCGCGUCGGUUUGUCGCUAUUUUUUUUUUAGUUUCAGUUUAUAAUCUAACCAAACCUAAAUGCUACACAUAAGUAACUUCAACCAAACAAAUUAAUUAAAUUUUUACCUUAUUCCACUCGCGUCCGUUUCGCAAUGGUGGACCAAUGGCAUUGAGUUCGGCAGCGAACAGAUCCCAUCGCUCUGCCCUGCUUUUCUUCGUCGAUCCAAAAUUCCCCAUUCCUCUGGCGACGUCCGGAUUAUUUUCCAUUAACGCAACCAAUUUUUGGAAUUGUUGCGUUGUUGUACGUUUUGUUCUAGAAGUAUCGUUUUGUUAAAUAUAAUUAAAUAAUUACAUUUGCUCAAAUAACGAUCAAAAUUUACUUACGUCCUUUCCAUUUCAAAUAGCGAAUAAAAAAUACAUUCGUCAAAUUUUGACACUAAUGGCGAAGCGAAUGACGUUUUUUCGCCAGUGGCAAUACCAGAAAUUUAUUUUCGCCACUCGUUCGCCAUUUUCUGGCGAAUUCGUUAGAGAUUCGCAACUUACAAUUCGCCACGGCGAAACUCGCCAAAAUUUUCAUUCGCUUCGCAAGUGACAAUACCCGCCUAUAUGCACAUCCGCAUUACCAGAAAAAUCGUUACUUUUAUGGGAGCAAUCGCUCCCAUCACGAAGAAAGUGCCCAACGUGGCAACAAAUGAAGGAUUUCUUAACUACCCAAUAUAAAAUUGCAUACACAUUACACACAUUAAACACGACCUAAAUCUCAUGCAGAAAUUAAAAAAAAAAAAAAAACUAAAUAUUAAACAAAAGAAAAAAUUUCGUAAAAACGAAAAAACUUUGUACCAACUGUUUGUCACAUGCGCAUGCGCGCAAAGAUUGCGAAAGCAAAUUUAAUUGCGUUUAUUGCCAUAAACGACAUAACUCAAUGCUUCACAUUACAAAUUUUUCCAGCUUCGCUGAAAAUAACGCUAAUGUUAAAAGAGCUGCGGAUUAGUUGCAACAGCAAAUCCCGACUUACAAAAUUCCGAAAAUUACCAAGAAGCAGCAAGAAGCAGCAAGCUGCUCAAAGGCUUUAAAAACUCAGACGCUACACAGCGAAAACCAUAGCCGUGUAUUAUUACCCACAGCAGUGGUCUCCAUCGAACUCCGAGGAGAACUGUUUAAACUUAGGGCCUAUAGCGUCUAGGGCACAAAGUAGGCUACAACUGCCAACAAAACUAGCAAAUUUCGAAAUAACGGGAAUGGGCGGAAGAGUAGUACAAAACUCAAACAAAAUCUGCCCCAUUACCCUUAUUUCCCCCCAAGCGGAUAAGCACAUACAAGCAGAAGCUAUUGUCUUACCGCAACUAACAAACAUGCUUCCAAGCUAUCACAUUAUAGCAAGCAUUGGUAAAAGGUUUCACACCUAGCAGACCCCAACUGCAACACUCCCGCUCAAAUAGACAUUCUAUUAGGCAGCGAUCUCAUACCACAGAUAAUACUCGAAGGUAUUGAGAAAAUCACAAAUACACUUCUGGCGCAAAAUACCAUUUUGGGAUGGGUCCUAAGUGGAGUUGCGGAACCAGUCACAACAAUGACAAUUCAAGUUAAGUAAAUCUCAAACAAGUACCUCAAUACAGAACUGAAGAAAUUUUGAAAGCUAGAAGACUUCCCCCUCAUAUCAAUCACAACCCCAGAAGAUAUAUAUUGUGAGGAUUUUUACAAAUCCACAACUUCUCGAUUAGAUAAGGGCCGGUACGUCGUACGACUACCAUUAAAGCCAGAAUUCCCCUCACACUCGCCUUAGGUCAUUCCCGCACCUCUGCUAUCCAACAGUUUUUAAGUAUGGAAAAAAACCUACUUAAAAAGGUCAAAUCAUACGAAAAAAGUCAUGUUUUUGUGAUUUUUUUUCCUGACGACACAGUUAAAAUUUAUUUAUCCAACCAAUGGUACAUAGAAGUAUGACAUUCGAAAAAUGUCUUAUCAAUUUUUUACAAAGAAAUAUUAAAAAAUACGGCAAUGGCAUCAAUUGUCCGGACGGGUCUCGAAAAAAAGUUGAAUUGCGGUGCCCCUCAUAACUUAAAACUACUGCACUGAUCCUUUUGAAAUUUUAAACACUUUUUCUGUACAUAUUUUACAAGGUAACGCUGUUUUUUUGAAAUUCUAAUUUUUGAAUUUUUUCGAAGACUUUGAAGUGAAAAACACAAUUUUUGGGAAAACAUCGGCUAAUUUGCUAUUGCGAAAUCAAAAUUAUGAACAAAAAAAAAUUCUCCAGCGUUACCUCGUAAAAUUUUCGCUCGCUCGCUGUUUUUUUGAAAUUCGAAUUUUUGAAUUUUUUCGAAGACUUUGAAGUGAAAAACACAAUUUUUUGGGAAAAAAUCGGCUAAUUUGUUAUUGCGAAAUCAAAAUUAUGAACAAAAAAACUCUCCAGCGUUACCUCGUAAAAUAUGUACAGAAAUAGUGUUUAAAAUCUCAAAAGGAUCGGUGCAGUAGUUUUGAAGUUAUGAGGGGCACCGACUUUGAAAACGUGAGUUGUGGGAAAAAAGCGUUUAAAGUUUCACAGACGCUCACAAUCAAAUCGGAGGACGGAGACUUACAAGUGUAUAUCGCCGUCAAUUUUGCUUUAAUUGCUUUCAAAUUUUCACAGAAUAAUCUUAAGAUAUUGUACAUGAAUAUAACAUAAAAAUAUGCAAAACAAAAACCAAAAUACCUUCAUCCACCACAAAAAAAGACAAACAUAAUUAGGAAAAUGAUAUAAGGUUUUUUAU